rnacentral:rRNA from 1 species
CCUACGGGCGGCAGCAGUGGGGAAUAUUGGACAAUGGGGGGAACCCUGAUCCAGCCAUGCCGCGUGUGUGAAGAAGGCCCUCGGGUUGUAAAGCACUUUCAGUGAGGAAGAACGCCUGGUGGUUAAUACCCAUCAGGAAAGACAUCACUCACAGAAGAAGCACCGGCUAACUCCGUGCCAGCAGCCGCGGUAAUACGGAGGGUGCGAGCGUUAAUCGGAAUUACUGGGCGUAAAGCGCGCGUAGGUGGCUUGAUAAGCCGGUUGUGAAAGCCCCGGGCUCAACCUGGGAACGACAUCCGGAACUGUCAAGCUAGAGUGCAGGAGAGGAAGGUAGAAUUCCUGGUGUAGCGGUGAAAUGCGUAGAGAUCGGGAGGAAUACCAGUGGCGAAGGCGGCCUUCUGGACUGACACUGACACUGAGGUGCGAAAGCGUGGGUAGCAAACAGGAUUAGAUACCCGUGUAGUC